GAGUUAUUGAAGCCAGGAUAUGGCCAGCAGAGCAACAUCCUGCUGCGAGCCCCAACUGCAUUAAAUCCUGGAGACACUGUUUAGUGGACAUGGCCCUGGACAUUUCGACACACGGACCAGUGACAGCACAGCUGGCAUGUUGGGGUAAAGGCCUGGAAGCUGGCCUCAUGCAUAUUUUUGGAGUAAUGGCAGAGUGGUCCUCAAAGAUCACGGUAGUGUACCCAAAACAUCCAGGAGGGACUGUGGCCUGGAUGCACCCCCCUGACUGUAGCUGCCGCGUGAUGAUUGCUCUGAAUUCCCUACCUGUUCAGCUAUUGCCUGCUUGUGGAAUGGGCUGAGAAGAGCCCAUGCCUGAAGAGAGGCCCCACUUACCAUUGAGAAGAAGGCUGAGGGAUGUUGUGCUGCCCCAGGGGUGCCUGGGUGCACCAGGGCCAGGAAUCAGCAUGCUGAGCUGGGUCCAGUAGCCACGAAUGAGGAAACUGAGGCUCCAAGAAGUAAAGUGAUUCGUUGGAGGUCACCAGUCAGUGGUGGAGCUGGGAAGCAAG